rnacentral:rRNA from 1 species
AUUGAACGCUGGCGGCAUGCUUUACACAUGCAAGUCGAGCGGCAGCGCGGGGGCAACCCUGGCGGCGAGCGGCGAACGGGUGAGGAAUACAUCGGAACGUGCCCCGGAGUGGGGGAUAACGCCGCGAAAGCGGCGCUAAUACCGCAUAUGCUCUGAGGAGGAAAGCGGGGGACCUGUGAGGGACUCGCGCUCUGGGAGCGGCGGAUGUCCGAUUAGCUAGUUGGUGGGGUAAAGGCCCACCAAGGCGACGAUCGGUAGCUGGUCUGAGGGGAUGAUCAGCCACACUGGGACUGAGACACGGCCCAGACUCCUACGGGAGGCAGCAGUGGGGAAUUUUGGACAAUGGGCGAAAGCCUGAUCCAGCAAUGCCGCGUGAGUGAAGAAGGCCUUCGGGUUGUAAAGCUCUUUUGUUUGGGAAGAAAUCCUAACGGAUAAUACCUGUUGGGGAUGACGGUACCAAAAGAAUAAGCACCGGCUAACUACGUGCCAGCAGCCGCCGUAACAC